rnacentral:tRNA from 1 species
GGUGGGCAUAGCGCAUUAGGUAGAGCGUUGGUUUGUGGUACCAAAGGUAAUGGGUUCGAAUCCCAUUGUCCACC